CAGAAGGUAGUUUAGCAAAAUACUGGUUUUGGAAACCAGAGAGGCUCAAAUCUGAGUCCUUUUGA
rnacentral:tRNA from 1 species